GAUGAACGCUGGCGGCGUGCCUAAUACAUGCAAGUCGAGCGAACAGAUGAGGAGCUUGCUCCUCUGACGUUAGCGGCGGACGGGUGAGUAACACGUGGAUAACCUACCUAUAAUACUGGGAUAACUUCGGGAAACCGGAGCUAAUACCGGAUAAUAUAUUGAACCGCAUGGUUCAAUAGUGAAAGACGGUUUUGCUGUCACUUAUAGAUGGAUCCGCGCCGCAUGAGCUAGUUGGUAAGGUAACGGCUUACCAAGGCAACGAUGCGUAGCCGACCUGAGAGGAUGAGCAGCGACACUGGAACUGAGACACAGUCCAGACUACUACGGGAGGCAGCAGUGGGGAAUAUUGGACAAUGGGCGCAAGCCUGAUCCAGCCAUACCGCGUGAGUGAAGAAUGCCUUCGGGUUGUAAAACCCUUUUGUUGGGAGAAAAAAGCAGCAGGGUAAUACCCCGCGGUUCUGACGGUACCCAAAGAAUAAGCACGGGCUAACUUCGUG
rnacentral:rRNA from 1 species